rnacentral:rRNA from 1 species
CCUACGGGGGGCAGCAGUGGGGGAUAUUGCACAAUGGGGGGAACCCUGAUGCAGCGACGCCGCGUGAGCGAUGAAGUAUUUCGGUAUGUAAAGCUCUAUCAGCAGGGAAGAAAAUGACGGUACCUGACUAAGAAGCCCCGGCUAACUACGUGCCAGCAGCCGCGGUAAUACGUAGGGGGCAAGCGUUAUCCGGAUUUCCUGGGGGUAAAGGGAGCGUAGACGGCAGGGCAAGUCUGAAGUGAAGGGGAAGGGCUCAACCUUUAGAGUGCUUUGGAAACUGUGCGGCUGGAGUGUCGGAGAGGCAGGUGGAAUUCCUAGUGUAGCGGUGGAAUGCGUAGAUAUUAGGAGGAACACCAGUGGCGAAGGCGGCUUGCUGGACGAUGACUGACGUUGAGGCUCGAAAGCGUGGGGAGCAAACAGGAUUAGAUACCCGAGUAGUC